GUCAGGGGGAUGCAUCUGGUAAGGACCUUCUUGCUGCUGGGGACUCUGCAGAUUCCUGAGGCAAAGCAGAACAUAACAUGACAAGCGGGAGUUUCCUUUCAUAAUCCAGAAAGCAACUUGAUGGGGCACAGCUUGGGGAAAAAAUCCUGGGGAUGGAAGAAGUUCAUAUUGAUAUCCUAUAGUUGGCUGCCUGGUUUCAGAGCCCUUUUUGAACUUGGAAGACUUCAAGCCCCAACUGAGGAAUCCUUGAUGUUCUGUUGUCUUGCCUUGCUAAAAUGUACAAGAAAUUUGCAGAGCUCAACCCUUCAGGCUUAAAA